rnacentral:rRNA from 1 species
UGAGGAAUAUUGGACAAUGGGCGCAAGCCUGAUCCAGCCAUGCCGCGUGCAGGAUGACGGUCCUAUGGAUUGUAAACUGCUUCUGUACAGGAAGAAACAGUUCUACGUGUAGAACCUUGACGGUACUGUAAGAAUAAGGAUCGGCUAACUCCGUGCCAGCAGCCGCGGUAAUACGGAGGAUCCAAGCGUUAUCCGGAAUCAUUGGGUUUAAAGGGUCCGUAGGCGGUUAGAUAAGUCAGUGGUGAAAGCCCAUCGCUCAACGGUGGAACGGCCAUUGAUACUGUCUGACUUGAAUUAUUAGGAAGUAACUAGAAUAUGUAGUGUAGCGGUGAAAUGCUUAGAGAUUACAUGGAAUACCAAUUGCGAAGGCAGGUUACUACUAAUGGAUUGACGCUGAUGGACGAAAGCGUGGGUAGCGAACAGGAUUAGAUACCCAAGUAGUCCCUGAGCGGGCUGGCAAGGCGCAU